CCGCACGGGUGAGUAACACGUAUCCAACCUACCGAUAACUCUGGAAUAGCCUUCUGAAAGGAAGAUUAAUACAAGAUGGCAUCAUGAGUCCACAUGUUCACAUGAUUAAAGGUAUUCCGGUAGACGAUGGGGAUGCGUUCCAUUAGAUAGUAGGCGGGGUAACGGCCCACCUAGUCUUCGAUGGAUAGGGGUUCUGAGAGGAAGGUCCCCCACAUUGGAACUGAGACACGGUCCAA
rnacentral:rRNA from 1 species